rnacentral:rRNA from 1 species
GUGGGGAAUAUUGGACAAUGGGCGCAAGCCUGAUCCAGCCAUGCCGCGUGAGUGAUGAAGGCCCUAGGGUUGUAAAGCUCUUUCAGUGGGGACGAUAAUGACGGUACCCACAGAAGAAGCCCCGGCUAACUUCGUGCCAGCAGCCGCGGUAAUACGAAGGGGGCUAGCGUUGUUCGGAUUUACUGGGCGUAAAGCGCACGUAGGCGGAUCGUUAAGUCGAGGGUGAAAUCCUGGAGCUCAACUCCAGAACUGCCUUCGAUACUGGCGAUCUUGAGUCCGGAAGAGGUGAGUGGAACUCCUAGUGUAGAGGUGGAAUUCGUAGAUAUUAGGAAGAACACCAGUGGCGAAGGCGGCUCACUGGUCCGGUACUGACGCUGAGGUGCGAAAGCGUGGGGAGCAAACAGGAUUAGAUACCCGGGUAGUC